GAUGCACGCUGGCGGCGUGCCUAAUACAUGCAAGUCGAGCGAACAGAUAAGGAGCUUGCUCCUUUGACGUUAGCGGCGGACGGGUGAGUAACACGUGGGUAACCUACCUAUAAGACUGGAAUAACUCCGGGAAACCGGGGCUAAUGCCGGAUAACAUUUAGAACCGCAUGGUUCUAAAGUGAAAGAUGGUUUUGCUAUCACUUAUAGAUGGACCCGCGCCGUAUUAGCUAGUUGGUAAGGUAACGGCUUACCAAGGCAACGAUACGUAGCCGACCUGAGAGGGUGAUCGGCCACACUGGAACUGAGACACGGUCCAGACUCCUACGGGAGGCAGCAGUAGGGAAUCUUCCGCAAUGGGCGAAAGCCUGACGGAGCAACGCCGCGUGAGUGAUGAAGGUCUUCGGAUCGUAAAACUCUGUUAUUAGGGAAGAACAAAUGUGUAAGUAACUGUGCACGUCUUGACGGUACCUAAUCAGAAAGCCACGGCUAACUACGUG
rnacentral:rRNA from 1 species